GCCACGGACGUAGUGGUGCACCCCUGUAGUCCCAGCUACUUGGGGGGCUGAGACAGGAGAAUCACUUGAGUUCAGGUGUUCUGGGCUGUAGUGCACUGUGCUGAUCGGUGUCCACACUAAAUUCGGCAUCAAUAUGGUGACCUCCUGAGAGAGGGGGGCCACCAGAUUGCCUAAGGAGGGGUGAACUGGCCUAGGCAGGGGACAGAGGUGGUCAAAAAAGCAAGAGCAAGAAAGGGAAUACAGAAUGCAGUCACAGAACGGCCCCAUACUACCUAAGAUGUGCCU
rnacentral:SRP_RNA from 1 species